UACAGAGACCUCAAGCGUUAUCCGGAAUUAUUGGGCGUAAAGCGUGCCGACAGGUGGUAGAAUUAGUCUUGGGUAAAAGCCAGAAGCUCAACUUCUGAGUUUGCUUAAGAUACUGUUCUACUUGAGGGGCAAAGAGGUGCUUGGAACGAACGGUGUAGUAGUGAAAUGCGUUGAUAUCGUUCGGAAACACCGAAGCGAAGGCAGAGACACUGGGUGCCACCUGACACUGGCUAGGACGAAAGCGUGGGUAGCGAAUGGGA
rnacentral:rRNA from 1 species